GUGCUCGCUUUGGCAGCACAUAUACUGAAAUUGGAAUGAUACAGAGAAGAUUAGCAUGCCCCUGCUCAAGGAUGACACGCAAGUUUGUGAAGCUUUCCAUAUUUUU
rnacentral:snRNA from 1 species